GUAGAAGCUGCCAAAAGAUAUGUUUUAAUGAAUUGUGAUGAGGUGCAACCUUAUAUGAUGUUAUUUGUACAAACAUUGAAGGAAGAUAAUUGUCAAAUCACAGAAAAUGAGAUUGAAUCCCAGAUCAAUGAACGAUUUCCCUCAUGGUUUAAAAAUCAUGUUCAAAAUCAUAACAACAACAUUGUGGAUCCAUUUUUACAUGACAUUGCUUGGGGCCCGAAGAGAAAAGUUAGAACUUGGCCUAUGUACUUUAUUAAUGGGUAUAAGUUUCAUACACAUUCAUGGG